UGUUUUUGUUUUUGUUUUUUCUCUACUUGAAACUAGAAGUUUAACACUUACAUAUCCUUCUUCUAUUGUAGAAAAGUUCUCAGUUCUUGAAGCCACAACGAAAGCAAAGAAAAAAGAAACAAAAAGGACAAAAAGUUAGAAAUGAAAAAAAGGGUGGAAAGGAGAAAAAGGAUAUAGUGAAAGGGGAAUAAUCAUUUGGCUUUUGUGGCACAAUGGAUAUUGACUGGUAGACAGUGGAAUAAAAAGGGCUAUUGAAAAAGGGGUUGCUAAACGGAGAUGAAUAUGUCUAUCUUUGUUCUUUUGCACAAUAGUUACUGAAAAAUAGUAUAAAGAAUGUGGUAUAUGGUUUAGGAUAGGUUGAGAAAUGGAUCCAGAAAGUGGAACGUGAAAUGUAACAACAAGAAGGUUUGAAUCUUAAUAGAAAAUUUGAUUGCAGCAAAUGUUAAAAGGAAGGCAGAGACAGAGGGAGAAGCUGCCCGUUCAGCAUUGUACAAGAUUUUGAUAAGCUUCCUUUAUGUUGUCACGAAUGCAUGUUCUGUAGUUGGUGGUAAUGAGAUAAAAUUUAUGACGACUGUUGGUAGUGAAAAAAGUCACCUAAACAAGGUUAUUAGUCAUUCUUCAUUUGGGUGAUUCUCUAUGCUGGACGAUCUUUUUUUUUUGUUGCCUUUGAUGCAGGUAGUAGUGUGAAUGAGGCCACCGCGCAAAUACAGGGAUGAAGAAGAAAUUAGGUCAGAAAAUUUCCAAUUUAUUUGACAAUCAAUGGGCUAACUUUCACAUUCGAUUCAAUUAUAGACACAGAAGCAACACAGCUUGAUAUUUUCCAGUUUGUGGGAGCACCUUUUGUUGAAAAUUGUAUGGCAGGUUUCAACAGUUCCGUUUUGUUGAAAAUUGUAUGACUUUUCUUCUUUCUUCUCUCCUUAUCUUAUGAUUUCUUUUCUAAUUUGGGGUUUUGUUUAUUUUGGUUGAAAAAAUGAAAAGCCUCUUCUUGCCUUCUCGACCAAAGAGUCGUCCUCAUUCUUGCUUUCUUCAUUUCUUCAUUUCUUCAUUUUUUUUUAAUU